GGGACACGUGGUAUCCUGUCUGAAUAUGGGGGGACCAUCCUCCAAGGCUAAAUACUCCUGACUGACCGAUAGUGAACCAGUACCGUGAGGGAAAGGCGAAAAGAACCCCGGCGAGGGGAGUGAAAAAGAACCUGAAACCGUGUACGUACAAGCAGUGGGAGCACGCUUAGGCGUGUGACUGCGUACCUUUUGUAUAAUGGGUCAGCGACUUAUAUUCUGUAGCAAGGUUAACCGAAUAGGGGAGCCGAAGGGAAACCGAGUCUUAACUGGGCGUUAAGUUGCAGGGUAUAGACCCGAAACCCGGUGAUCUAGCCAUGGGCAGGUUGAAGGUUGGGUAACACUAACUGGAGGACCGAACCGACUAAUGUUGAAAAAUUAGCGGAUGACUUGUGGCUGGGGGUGAAAGGCCAAUCAAACCGGGAGAUAGCUGGUUCUCCCCGAAAGCUAUUUAGGUAGCGCCUCGUGAAUUCAUCUCCGGGGGUAGAGCACUGUUUCGGCAAGGGGGUCAUCCCGACUUACCAACCCGAUGCAAACUGCGAAUACCGGAGAAUGUUAUCACGGGAGACACACGGCGGGUGCUAACGUCCGUCGUGAAGAGGGAAACAACCCAGACCGCCAGCUAAGGUCCCAAAGUCAUGGUUAAGUGGGAAACGAUGUG
rnacentral:rRNA from 1 species